rnacentral:rRNA from 1 species
GUAGGGAAUAUUGGGCAAUGGAUGCAAGUCUGACCCAGCCAUCCCGCGUGCCGGAAGAAGGCCCUCAGGGUUGUAAACGGCUUUUGACGGUGAAGAAUCGACAGGAUGCGUCCUGUUUUGACGGUAGCCGUUGAAUAAGCACCGGCUAACUCCGUGCCAGCAGCCGCGGUAAUACGGAGGGUGCGAGCGUUGUCCGGAUUUAUUGGGUUUAAAGGGUGCGUAGGCUGGAAGGUCAGUCAGCGGUGAAAAGCUGUCGCUGAACGAUAGUAUUGCCGCAUAUACUUCCUUUCUUGGAUGAGGAGUAGGCCACUGGAGCGGAUGGUGUAGCAGUGAAAUGCAUAGAUAUCAUCCAGAACACCGAUUGCGAAGGCAGGUGGCUGUACCUUAAUCGACGCUGAUGCACGAAAGCAUGAGGAGCAAACAGAAUUAGAAUCCCGUGUAGUCC